GUGCUUGAUUUGGCACACACAUACUAAAAUUAGAAUGAUACAGAGAUUAGCACGGCCCUUGCGUAAGGAUGACAUGCAAAUUCAUGAAGUAUUCCAUAUUUUC
rnacentral:snRNA from 1 species